UGGGUUGGAACCCUCCAGAAGUCCGCAGAGAUGUGGAUGUGCUCGCAAGAGAACUGGAUGUCCAGGUGCUGCAUGGCUGUCGUCAGCUCGUGUCGUGAGAUGUUGGGUUAAGUCCCGCAACGAGCGCAACCCUUGUCGUUAGUUGCCAGCGGUUCGGCCGGGCACUCUAACGAGACUGCCGGUGUUAAACCGGAGGAAGGUGGGGAUGACGUCAAGUCCUCAUGGCCCUUAUGCCCAGGGCUACACACGUGCUACAAUGGCCGGUACAAAGGGUCGCUAACCCGCGAGGGUGUGCUAAUCCCAAAAAACCGGCCUCAGUUCAGAUUGGAGUCUGCAACUCGACUCCAUGAAGUCGGAAUCGCUAGUAAUCCCUGAUCAGCAGGCAGGGGUGAAUACGUUC
rnacentral:rRNA from 1 species